rnacentral:rRNA from 1 species
AUUGAACGCUGGCGGCGUGCCUAAUACAUGCAAGUCGAGCGAAGCGGCGGUUGGGUGAGUAACGCGUGGGUAACCUGCCCUUAAGUCUGGGAUGCCAUUUGGAAACAGAUGCUGAUACCGGAUACUAAAGGAUGGAGCUGCGAUGCAUUAGCUAGUUGGUAAGGUAACGGCUUACCAAGGGGAUGAUGCGUAGCCGAGGUGAGAGACUGAUCGGCGACAUGGGGACUGAGACACGGCCCAAACUCCUACGGGAGGCAGCAGUAGGGAAUCGUCCACAAUGGUCGAAAGUCUGAUGGAGCAACGCCGCGUGAGUGAAGAAGGUUUUCGGAUCGUAAAGCUCUGUUGUUGGUGAAGCGGUAAUCAACCAGAAAGUAACGGCUAACUACGUGCCAGCAGCCGCGGUAAUUC